AUUGCUCUGUUUUAGACCACGAAACGCGCAAGAAACGAGAGUUGAAAAAAAUUUUGAAGAAGUUGGAUGCUUUAAAAGGAAUGAACAUUGAUUACUUUUUCGUGGCUGCCGUGGAAUCUGGUGUUGAAGUGCAUGGCUCAAAGUCUGCCUUACAAUACUGCAAAAGAAAGAGCAUCCCCGCUUCAUUUUAUGCUUUUGUAAACAGCUCUGGAGCAAUUGAGUCAAACGAC